AAACCUAACACUCCUUUUUAUACUUAUUAGAGUAAACUUCAAAUACCAUUCCAGUUAUUUCACACUUUUUUUACUUUAGCAAUCUAUAGUUUAAAGUGUGUCAAGUUAGUAUUCUGUGGUUUUAUUUUUAUCUUUUCGUCAUUUUUAUCUUUUCGUCAAUUUUUUCGUUAAUAUUUCGUUAAAUUAUAUACAAAAAAACUUCAGAUAUCUUACCUAGGUUUAUUGAAUAUUCACUUUAAUACUCUUUAGUUUUAACUUUGUUACCGAUUUAACGAAAAAAAUUAGUGAAAACGAUAAUAAAAAGAUAAAAAUGAAACCACAGGAUACUAAAUUGAUACACUUUAAACCACAGUGUACUAAUGAAACAAUAGGGGUGGUAUUUGAAGUUUUCCCUUAUACUUCAUGCAGGCAUCUAAAUUUUAGAUAUUUGCACUUAGAC
rnacentral:lncRNA from 1 species